CUGGGUUGUAAUAGUAGAAUGUACAAGGUGACAUUACUAAACUGGGUUGUAACAGUAGAAUACACAAGGUGACAUUACUAAACUGGGUUGUAAUAGUAGAAUACACAAGGUGACAUUACUAAACUGGGUUGUAACAGUAGAAUACACAAGGUGACAUUACUAAACUGGGUUGUAAUAGUAGAAUACACAAGGUGACAUUACUAAACUGGGUUGUAAUAGUAGAAUGUACAAGGUGACAUUACUAAACUGGGUUGUAAUAGUAGAAUGUACAAGGUGACAUUACUAAACUGGGUUGUAAUAGUAGAAUACACAAGGUGACAUUACUAAACUGGGUUGUAAUAGUAGAAUACACAAGGUGACAUUACUAAACUGGGUUGUAAUAGUAGAAUACACAAGGUGACAUUACUAAACUGGGUUGUAAUAGUAGAAUACACAAGGUGACAUUACUAAACUGGGUUGUAAUAGUAGAAUACACAAGGUGACAUUACUAAACUGGGUUGUAAUAGUAGAAUACACAAGGUGACAUUACUAAACUGGGUUGUAAUAGUAGAAUACACAAGGUGACAUUACUAAACUGGGUUGUAAUAGUAGAAUACACAAGGUGACAUUACUAAACUGGGUUGUAAUAGUAGAAUACACAAGGUGACAUUACUAAACUGGGUUGUAAUAGUAGAAUACACAAGGUGACAUUACUAAACUGGGUUGUAAUAGUAGAAUACACAAGGUGACAUUACUAAACUGGGUUGUAAUAGUAGAAUACACAAGGUGACAUUACUAAACUGGGUUGUAAUAGUAGAAUGUACAAGGUGACAUUACUAAACUGGGUUGUAACAGUAGAAUACACAAGGUGACAUUACUAAACUGGGUUGUAAUAGUAGAAUGUACAAGGUGACAUUACUAAACUGGGUUGUAAUAGUAGAAUACACAAGGUGACAUUACUAAACUGGGUUGUAAUAGUAGAAUGUACAAGGUGACAUUACUAAACUGGGUUGUAAUAGUAGAAUGUACAAGGUGACAUUACUAAACUGGGUUGUAAUAGUAGAAUACACAAGGUGACAUUACUAAACUGGGUUGUAACAGUAGAAUACACAAGGUGACAUUACUAAACUGGGUUGUAAUAGUAGAAUGUACAAGGUGACAUUACUAAACUGGGUUGUAAUAGUAGAAUGUACAAGGUGACAUUACUAAACUGGGUUGUAAUAGUAGAAUACACAAGGUGACAUUACUAAACUGGGUUGUAAUAGUAGAAUACACAAG